UACGUAGGGUGCAAGCGUUAAUCGGAAUUACUGGGCGUAAAGCGUGCGCAGGCGGUUAUUUAAGUCAGGUGUGAAAGCCCUGGGCUUAACCUAGGAAUUGCGCUUGAGACUGGAUAGCUUGGAGUGCGGCAGAGGGAGGUGGAAUUCCGCGUGUAGCAGUGAAAUGCGUAGAUAUGCGGAGGAACACCGAUGGCGAAGGCAAUCCCCUGGACCUGUACUGACGCUCAUGCACGAAAGCGUGGGGAGCAAACAGG
rnacentral:rRNA from 1 species